AAAAAGAUAAGCUAAUUAAGCUAUUGGGCUCAUACCCCACUUAUGAAGGUCAAACCCUUCUCUUUUUA
rnacentral:tRNA from 1 species